GUGUCAGCCGCCGCGGUAAUACGAAGGGGGCUAGCGUUGUUCGGAAUCACUGGGCGUAAAGGGCGCGUAGGCGGCUUUGUAAGUCGGGGGUGAAAGCCUGUGGCUCAACCACAGAAUUGCCUUCGAUACUGCAUGGCUUGAGACCGGAAGAGGUAAGUGGAACUGCGAGUGUAGAGGUGAAAUUCGUAGAUAUUCGCAAGAACACCAGUGGCGAAGGCGGCUUACUGGUCCGGAUCUGACGCUGAGGCGCGAAAGCGUGGGGAGCAAACAGGAUUAGAUACCCCAGUAGUCC
rnacentral:rRNA from 1 species